AGUGGCGAACGGNUGAGUAACACGUGAGAAACCUGCCCCAAAGAUCGGGAUAACCUCCGGAAACGGUGGCUAAUACCGAAUACCCCUGACCGGUCGCAUGGCUGGUCAAGGAAAUGCUCCGGCGCUUUGGGAGGGUCUCGCGGCCUAUCAGCUAGUUGGUGGGGUAACGGCCUACCAAGGCAUCGACGGGUAGCUGGUCUGAGAGGACGAUCAGCCACACUGGGACUGAGACACGGCCCAGACUCCUACGGGAGGCAGCAGUAGGGAAUCUUGCGCAAUGGGCGAAAGCCUGACGCAGCAACGCCGCGUGGGGGAUGACGGCUCUAGGGUUGUAAACCCCUUUCAGCAGGGACGAAAAUGACGGUACCUGCAGAAGAAGCUCCGGCCAACUACGUGCCAGCAGCCGCGGUAACACGUAGGGGGCAAGCGUUGUCCGGAAUUAUUGGGCGUAAAGAGCUCGUAGGCGGUUUGGUAAGUCGGAUGUGAAAACUCAGGGCUCAACCCGGAGAGGCCAUCCGAUACUGCCAUGACUANAGUCCGGUAGAGGAGUGNGNAANUUCUGNUGNNNCGGUGANNUGCGCAGAUAUCANAAGGAACACCAACGGNNAANGCAGCACUCUGGGCCGGUACNGACGCUGAGGAGCGAAAGCGUGGGGAGCAAACAGGANUANAU
rnacentral:rRNA from 1 species